UGGGGAAUAUUGGACAAUGGGCGCAAGCCUGAUCCAGCCAUGCCGCGUGGGUGAAGAAGGCCUUCGGGUUGUAAAGCCCUUUUGUCCGGAAAGAAAAGCACGGGAUUAAUACCCUCGUGUGAUGACGGUACCGGAAGAAUAAGCACCGGCUAACUUCGUGCCAGCAGCCGCGGUAAUACGAAGGGUGCAAGCGUUACUCGGAAUUACUGGGCGUAAAGCGUGCGUAGGUGGUUUGUUAAGUCUGUCGUGA
rnacentral:rRNA from 1 species